UGGGGAAUUUUGGACAAUGGGCGAAAGCCUGAUCCAGCCAUGCCGCGUGAGUGAAGAAGACCUUCGGGUUGUAAAGCUCUUUUAGUCGGAAAGAAAGGGUUGCAAUGAAUAAUUGUGAUUUAUGACGGUACCGACAUAAAAAGCACCGGCUAACUACGUGCCAGCAGCCGCGGUAAUACGUAGGGUGCGAGCGUUAAUCGGAAUUACUGGGCGUAAAGGGUGCGCAGGCGGUUUGGCAAGUCAGAUGUGAAAGCCCCGGGCUUAACCUGGGAAUUGCGUUUGAAACUGCAAGGCUAGAGUGCAGCAGAGGGGAGUGGAAUUCCAUGUGUAGCAGUGAAAUGCGUAGAGAUGUGGAAGAACACCGAUGGCGAAGGCAGCUCCCUGGGUUGACACUGACGCUCAUGCACGAAAGCGUGGGGAGCAAACA
rnacentral:rRNA from 1 species